AGCAGCCGCGGUAAUUCCAGCUCCAAUAGCGUAUAUUAAAGUUGUUGCAGUUAAAAAGCUCGUAGUUGAAUUUCGGGGUCAGUAGGUUGGUCGUGCCACAGGUACGUACUGGUCUCACUGAUUCCUCCUUCCUGAUGAACCGUAAUGCCAUUAAUUUGGUGUUGCGGGGAAACUGGACUGUUACUUUGAAAAAAUUAGAGUGUUUAAAGCAGGCUAACGCUUGAAUACAUUAGCAUGGAAUAAUGAAAUAGGACGUUCGAUCCUAUUUUGUUGGUUUCUAGGAUUGACGUAAUGAUUAAUAGGGAUAGUUGGGGGCAUUAGUAUUCAAUUGUCAGAGGUGAAAUUCUUGGAUUUAUUGAAGACUAACUACUGCGAAAGCAUUUGCCAAGGAUGUUUUCAUUAAUCAAGAACGAAAGUUAGGGGAUCGAAGACGAUCAGAUACCGUCGUAGUCUUAACCAUAAACUAUGCCGACUAGGGAUCGGAUGAUGUUAAUUUUUAAUGACUCAUUCGGCGCCUUAC
rnacentral:rRNA from 1 species